rnacentral:rRNA from 1 species
CAGCAGCUCUGUAGCAAUACAGAGGCUGGCGACCGGCAAACGGGUGCGGAACACGUACACAACCUUCCUUUAAGUGGGGAAUAGCCCGGGGAAACCCGGAUUAAUACCCCGUAAUAUAAUGAAGUGGCAUCACUUUAUUAUUAUAGCAGCAAUGCGCUUAUAGAUGGGUGUGCGACUGAUUAGGCAGUUGGCGGGGUAACGGCCCACCAAACCUACGAUCAGUAACUGGUGUGAGAGCACGACCAGUCACACGGGCACUGAGACACGGGCCCGACUCCUACGGGAGGCAGCAGUAAGGAAUAUUGGUCAAUGGACGCAAGUCUGAACCAGCCAUGCCGCGUGGAGGAUGAAGGUCCUCUGGAUUGUAAACUUCUUUUAUCUGGGAAGAAAUCCACGAAUUCUUUUGUGGUUGACGGUACCAGAUGAAUAAGCACCGGCUAACUCCGUGCCAGCAGCCGCGGUAAUACGGAGGGUGCAAGCGUUAUCCGGAUUCACUGGGUUUAAAGGGUGCGUAGGUGGGCAGGUAAGUCAGUGGUGAAAUCUCCGGGCUUAACUCGGAAACUGCCAUUGAUACUAUCUGUCUUGAAUACCGUGGAGGUCAGCGGAAUAUGUCAUGUAGCGGUGAAAUGCUUAGAUAUGACAUAGAACACCAAUUGCGAAGGCAGCUGGCUACACGAAUAUUGACACUGAUGCACGAAAGCGUGGGGAUCAAACAGGAUUAGAUACCCUGGUAGUCCACGCCCUAAACGAUGGAUACUCGACAUACGCGAUAUACUGUGUGUGUCUGAGCGAAAGCAUUAAGUAUCCCACCUGGGAAGUACGAUCGCAAGAUUGAAACUC